rnacentral:rRNA from 1 species
GUGUACGGAAUGGAUAAGCGCUGAAAGCAUCUAAGCGCGAAGCCAACUUCAAGAUAAGAUUUCCCACCGCAAGGGUAAGACCCCAGAAAGACUAUCUGGUUGAUAGGUCGAAGGUGUAAGUGCAGCAAUGUAUUUAGCUUAUCGAUACUAAUAGGUCGAGGACUUGACCAAUAUUUAUU